GUGAGUGAGCAAGCAGACAUUACCAAG
rnacentral:piRNA from 1 species